CUUUAUGUUUGAAGCCUGAAAUGUGGCAAAAGGUCGCAAAGUUCAAGGGGGCCGAAUGUUGUUUUACAGGGUCAGUCAUGGUAGUAUGAUAGGUGUUGUUUUACAGGGUCAGUCAUGGUAGUAUGAUAGGUGUUGUUUUACAGGGUCAGUCAUGGUAGUAUGAUAGGUGUUGUUUUACAGGGUCAGUCAUGGUAGUAUGAUAGGUGUUGUUUUACAGGGUCAGUCAUGGUAGUAUGAUAGGUGUUGUUUUACAGGGUCAGUCAUGGUAGUAUGAUAGGUGUUGUUUUACAGGGUCAGUCAUGGUAGUAUGAUAGGUGUUGUUUUACAGGGUCAGUCAUGGUAGUAUGAUAGGUGUUGUUUUACAGGGUCAGUCAUGGUAGUAUGAUAGGUGUUGUUUUACAGGGUCAGUCAUGGUAGUAUGAUAGGUGUUGUUUUACAGGGUCAGUCAUGGUAGUAUGAUAGGUGUUGUUUUACAGGGUCAGUCAUGGUAGUAUGAUAGGUGUUGUUUUACAGGGUCAGUCAUGGUAGUAUGAUAGGUGUUGUUUUACAGGGUCAGUCAUGGUAGUAUGAUAGGUGUUGUUUUACAGGGUCAGUCAUGGUAGUAUGAUAGGUGUUGUUUUACAGGGUCAGUCAUGGUAGUAUGAUAGGUGUUGUUUUACAGGGUCAGUCAUGGUAGUAUGAUAGGUGUUGUUUUACAGGGUCAGUCAUGGUAGUAUGAUAGGUGUUGUUUUACAGGGUCAGUCAUGGUAGUAUGAUAGGUGUUGUUUUACAGGGUCAGUCAUGGUAGUAUGAUAGGUGUUGUUUUACAGGGUCAGUCAUGGUAGUAUGAUAGGAGCAGUGGAAUGUGUUGUUUUACAGGGCCAGCCGUAGUACUUCAGCACCAGUGGAGCAAAUUAGGUUUAAGUGACUUGCUCAAUGGCAUAUCGACAGAGUUUUCACCUUGUCGGCUCUGAUGUUCGGGUUUGGGUUACCACCCCAAAGCUCUAACCGCUAGGCUACCUGCCUCCCUAACUAGUGGGUUACCACCCCAAAGCUCUAACCGCUAGGCUACCUGCCUCCCUAACUAGUGGGUUACCACCCCAAAGCUCUAACCGCUAGGCUACCUGCCUCCCUAACUAGUGGGUUACCACCCCAAAGCUCUAACCGCUAGGCUACCUGCCUCCCUAACUAGUGGGUUACCACCCCAAAGCUCUAACCACUAGGCUACCUGCCUCCCUAACUAGUGGGUUACCACCCCAAAGCUCUAACCGCUCGGCUACCUGCCUCCCUAACUAGUGGGUUACCACCCCAAAGCUCUAACCGCUAGGCUACCUGCCUCCCUAACUUUUGAGUUACCACCCCAAAGCUCUAACCGCUAGGCUACCUGCCUCCCUAACUAGUGGGUUACCACCCCAAAGCUCUAACCGCUA